CCUACGGGAGGCAGCAGUGGGGAAUCUUGCGCAAUGGGCGAAAGCCUGACGCAGCGACGCCGCGUGAGUGAGGAAGGCCUUCGGGUCGCAAAGCUCGAUAGUGUGGGAAGAAGGGAUGACGGUACCACACGAAAGCCCCGGCUAACUACGUGCCAGCAGCCGCGGUAAU
rnacentral:rRNA from 1 species